UCACAGAUUUGUGUGCCGCCAUGACAAAGCCGACGGCUAUCGCUAAUUCCGCCUCCCCCAUGUCUGUGACCUGUAGGUUUCCGCUCCGGGAGGAGUUCGCAGAUAGCUUGGAACACUCGCAUUCGGUUCCUCUGGUGAUGCUACCACGGCGUGACGCCACCCCUGGUAUGACGGUGGAUUCAAACGCUGGUUCUGGGUGUGGAUGACAUGUUGGAGGCGAAAUCACCUUUGGGUGGGGGGGUGGACGCACGCUGGCGACGGCAAUCUUCUCCAACAAGGUCUACUCAAUCGACAGGCAGGGUCAACCUCGCGGUGUCGGGCUGGACAAAGAGGUUACGUCUUGGGAGUGCAUCCCCGGACAGAUCGCCCAUGUCCAUCUAUGACAAGUGUGUUGGAGCACUUGAUAUGUAAUUUUGCCCAGGAGCCGAUUAAGAGUGUAGUGCAGCCAUGAACUUGGACUGAGCUUCGACCUGGUUGUGGAGGCGUACAACUUCUACAACUUGUAUUCAUGGGAAAUUGGGCUUGGGGCAAGAUGGUGGAGAUGGACCAGCUCCAACGAGGAGCUUGGCUGGGGUGGGUGGCUGUGGCGCAGCUUCUAAUCGCCAACAAACUAUUGUUGUCUACCUGGAGAGGUACGACAUUCUGUACAUUAUGUCUUACAAUGGUAAGGAACAAUCAGGAAAACCAGAUGUAGAUUCUUCAUGCAAGGUGGAGCUGGGGGAGAAAUUCUCCCCCAUCAGCCGGCCUGGAGCAUGAUUCCCCCACUAGGCAUCAUCUGUAUGUUUGGUUUACAACGAACGGCGACCCUACCAAAAAAUUGGCUGGCCCAUCAGAUUUGGUCAUUGCUUGGAUCAAUGCCAUAUAUUUGGCGUGCCCAGCCCGCCCAGGUCGCUCCCAUGUAAUUUUGCCAAAUCGUGGGCUCGCCAGGGCGCAGAAAAUGCUCGCCAAAAAAUUGGCAGCGUUGCCCUCACAAUGCAAUUAAUGUGGUGGUUAAAUGGCUGGGCAAAUCAUGCACGUAUGUUGUACCUACCUGACUUUUGGAUCAAUUAAUCCUGUGUCGGCCGGUGACCAAUCCUGCUUAGCACAACCGAAUAACAACCCAAACGUACCGAACACUAGUAUUCCCCAAAUUAUCCCAGUUUCAGCAAGAGACUGUGGAUUGAAAUGCUAUACUAUGGUGACAACUUUCUCUUAGUUCAGUAAAGGAAAACAAGACCCUCUGGAUGCCAGCAUUCUUUCCACAGACAUAUGUGAUGCGCAUGUGUACUUUUACACGCCCGUUUUUCAUGUGGCACAUUUUGGUUAAUUAAGUGUGUUUUAAAUAUGUGUCCCUUCUUUUUAAUUAAAACAAAAUUGCAAGCAAACCAAACAAUGAUCAAUCCUAGUUGUCAAAGUUCAUAGUGUGCCACGUUAGUUGGCUGUAAACCAAAUGGAGGCUCACUGAUUUUGCCAAAAACAUUGGCAAGUAUAUUGGCUCUAAACCAAACACGAUCAACUUAACAAAAAAUUGGUCAUGCCCUAGCUUUGGUCAGGCUAAAAUUUUGGUGGGGCUAGUUGGGGCACAAACCAAACACACCCGAUACCCUGAGGUUCUACGGCAACAUGCCAGGGUGUGGUGAAAAUGUCCUGCAGAAGUAAAGUCUUCAAACUGAAUUCAUUAAAACUGCUUUACCUUCAUGGGUGUUUUGUCAUGUAUUGAUGCUCUGCCACACUGAAUUUGCUGUCAGGAAAUGGUUCAGUCACUUCUAUCCGCUAGCUACAGUGGCAUCGUGCCAGGACCUGAAGGAUGAGCUGACUCUUGGUGGUGAGUUGACGAUAACUGCCCAGAGAUGCAUACAACGCAUGUUGAGUGCAAAGAAAAUGAAGAUGUACCGGGGCUGGCUAGCAAGCUGGAAAGUGUUUUCUGAUCCCUGCUUUGUGGGGGAACUUUGCAAGCCGGACAAUGAAGUGGGCUGGGAUACAUCGAGAUGAUGAUGAACUAAGAACUGAUGGGAUACAGAAUUGAUUGGUUGAGGAAGUUCAUGUUCCUGGUUACCUUCAUGGAUUGCUGGUCAUUGUACAUUCUCGAUACAGAGAGGAAGCCAGUCAUGGUCCUUGAUCCAACUGAGAUAGAUCCAGCGGAUGAGAUGAGGAGGAAGCAUGAGGUUUGGGCUAGGAAGUUCCAGCUCAAAUUCUGCAAGUGAUUGAACGACAUGUUUGAUGUUGGGUUGGUGGAUACUACUGGAUGGAAUUUUUUGUACGUCUUAGUGGCGCAGCAUGAACCAUGCACGAGGGAGGACAGCGGUGUGUACAUCGUGCACUACUUCCUUGAAUUUACCAGGCUCUACCUUCAUUCACCGCUCAGCCAGGCGCAGCUAGAUGACCCGUGGAGAAAAUUGCCUACGAACUUCUGACCAUGAAGGGGGAACAAGGGAGAUCUUCCAGGUUUCCUAUGCGAGGAGAUAGUUGACUGAUGGGAAUGAGUCGUGGUUCAAAAAUUGCGCGGGUUGUUCAGAUCUUUUGUCCAUGUGACGCAUGUGCUUUGACCAUGCAAGUACCCCCUUAUGUCUCCGGGGCUUUUGGAGGCACGCGAACCCCUUCUUAAUAUUUGAUUUCGUAUGGAACUUAUGUCAAUUUGUACUUAUAAAAUACCUAGUAAGUAGAUUGAGUAGAACUACUUGUGUGCAUUGAUGUGAGAUGCCAGACACAUCAUGUGGCUGUUAGCAGCAAAAACCUGGCUUAGUACUUGAAAUG